rnacentral:rRNA from 1 species
CCUACGGGAGGCAGCAGUCGAGAAUCAUUCACAAUGGGGGAAACCCUGAUGGUGCGACGCCGCGUGGGGGAAUGAAGGUCUUCGGAUUGUAAACCCCUGUCAUGUGGGAGCAAAUUAAAAAGAUAGUACCACAAGAGGAAGAGACGGCUAACUCUGUGCCAGCAGCCGCGGUAAUACAGAGGUCUCAAGCGUUGUUCGGAAUCACUGGGCGUAAAGCGUGCGGAGGGUGUUUCGUAAGGCGUGUGUGAAAGGCGCGGGCUCAACCCGCGGACGGCAGAUGAUACUGCGAGACUAGAGUGAUGGAGGGGGAACCGGAAUGCUCGGUGUAGCAGUGAAAUGCGUAGAUAUCGAGAGGAACACUCGUGGCGAAGGCGGGUUCCUGGACAUUAACUGACGCUGAGGCACGAAGGCCAGGGGAGCGAAAGGGAUUAGAUACCCCUGUAGUC